CUACCUGUUGUAUAGAUGGUAUAAUGAGGUUGUAUAGACGGUAUAAUGAGGUUGUAUUACCUGUUGUAUAGACGGUAUAAUGAGGUUGUAUUACCUGUGGUAUAGACGGUAUAAUGAGGUUGUAUUACCUGUUGUAUAGACGGUAUAAUGAGGUUGUAUUACCUGUUGUAUAGACGGUAUAAUGAGGUUGUACUACCUGUUGUAUAGAUGGUAUAAUGAGGUUGUAUUACCUGUUGUAUAGAUGGUAUAAUGAGGUUGUAUAGACGGUAUAAUGAGGUUGUAUUACCUGUUGUAUAGACGGUAUAAUGAGGUUGUACUACCUGUUGUAUAGACGGUAUAAUGAGGUUGUACUACC